rnacentral:sRNA from 1 species
GGUUGAACAAAAAACAAAAACAGAAAACACCGCGGCGGCUCGCAGUGUUGCUAGUGCAGACUCUUUUACAUUAUUCUACCCCAACACCUAUUUUUUAUGCGAUUUUGGAAGAAAUGUUAAAUAUCUCAUAUAUCUCACUCUCACAAAACUCUUUGUAGCGUAUUUUUCCUGUACAUCACAUACAUUCAUGCCAUCUUUUGGGCUAUUCACAUACACUUUUUGUUAAUUAAAAUCAAAGACGACCAAUGGUUUUAGGUCGUGGGAUUUUUUCUUUCAACUUUUUUUUUAGUUAAUAAAACCGAUUAAUCCGAAUUUCUGCAUGUGAA